CCUACGGGAGGCAGCAGUGAGGAAUAUUGGUCAAUGGCCGCGAGCCUGAACCAGCCAAGUAGCGUGAAGGAUGACUGCCCUACGGGUUGUAAACUUCUUUUGUCAAGGAAUAAAGUGAGGCACGUGUGCCUUUUUGUGUGUACUUGAUGAAUAAGGAUCGGCUAACUCCGUGCCAGCAGCCGCGGUAAUACGGAGGAUCCGAGCGUUAUCCGGAUUUAUUGGGUUUAAAGGGGGCGUAGGCGGGUUGUUAAGUCAGGCGUGAAAGUUUGGGGCUCAACCCUAGAAUUGCCAUUGAUACUGGCAGCCUUGAGUACACUAGAGGUAUGCGGAAUGCGUGGUGUAGCGGUGAAAUGCUUAGAUAUCACGAAGAACUCCGAUUGCGAAGGCAGCUUACUAAACUGCCACUGACAUUGAUGCUCGAAAGUGUGGGUAUCAAACAGGAUUAGAUACCCGAGUAGUC
rnacentral:rRNA from 1 species